rnacentral:lncRNA from 1 species
GUGUUCUGCGUUAUUAAGGGAUACACGGGCUGUAGAGAAUAGGGUUUAGUAGGCUUGUGAGGAGCGUUUGCGAGAGUAUAAGGACUCUGCAAAGCUGAAAAGCAAGAUCCAAUAGGCCUGUGAAGCGCGAUUAAAAGAGUAUAAGGCCUCUAUGGAGAUGAAAGAGACAAUGUACAAGGAGGCCUUCUGGAUGUUCGCUUUAGGCUAUAAUCAAGGCCUUAAGUCGGCUAGUGAUGCCCCUUCCACUCCGUUGGUAAACCUACAAACCCUUGAAGUGGAUUCUGAUGGCGAGAAGGUGCGCUACAGAGAUGAUGACAACCCUUUGCCCAAAAAUGCUCUUCGCUUGCCUUCUAGACCUCAGGGGAGGAU